rfam:Triticum aestivum genome assembly, contig: Triticum_aestivum_CS42_TGACv1_scaffold_513787_6BS
AUACCUUUCUCGGCCUUUUGGCUAAGAUCAAGUGUAGUAUUUGUUCUUAUCAGUUUAAUAUUUGAUAUGUGGGCCAUGUGCCCAACCAGUUCUUUGUUCUUGUCCCAUCUCCCUUU